rnacentral:rRNA from 1 species
AAUUUUGUAAGUAUAUAAUAAUUACGAAAGCAAAAAAUUAUGGCGGUAUUUUAAGCUUUUCAGAGGAAUUUGCUCUUUAAUGGAUAAAACACCUAAAUCUUACUUAAAUUUGUUAAAUCAACUUGUAUACCACUAUUAAAACAAUUAUUAACUCUAAUUGUUAAUAUUUAAAACAUAAAUUAAUUUAAAUUAAGUCAAGGUGCAGUAAAAAUUUAAGAAUGAAGUGAAUUACAUUACUUUUAAGGGAAAUAAAAUUAAAUAAAGUUUAGGAUUUGAAAGUAAAAUUAAAAUAGAAUGUUAAUUUGAAUU